UCCAGGGCUCCCCAUAGUGUAUAUUAAAGUUGUUGCAGUUAAAAAGCUCGUAGUUGGAUCUAGGGACGCGCAUUUCAAGCGCCCGUGUCGUCGGGUCAAACCGGCGACUGCGUUGGCGUUGCGGGCUCGGUCCGUCGGUGCCCCACAAAGGGCUACUGGCGUGUCAACCGGCCCGCCCGUCCCCUCCUUCUGGAUUCCCGUUCCUGCUAUUGAGUUAGUGGGGACGUCACAGGGGGCUCAUCGUUGUGCGGCGUCAAAACCGUGCGGCGGUGGGUCCCUGGGGCCCAGAUCGUUUACCGUGAAAAAAUUAGAGUGUUCAAAGCAGGCAGAUCCAAUUUUCUGCCACCGAAUACAUUAGCAUGGGAUAAUGGAAUAGGACCCUGUCCUCCUAUUUUCAGUUGGUUUUGGCAGCGCGAGGACUAGGGUAAUGAUUAAUAGGGAUAGUUGGGGGCAUUAAUAUUUAAUUGUCAGAGGUGAAAUUCUUGGAUUUAUGAAAGAUUAACUUCUGCGAAAGCAUCUGCCAAGGAUGUUUUCAUUAAUCAAGAACGAAAGUUAGGGGAUCGAAGACGAUCAGAUACCGUCGUAGUCUUAACCAUAAACGAUGCCGACCAGCGAUUAGGAGACGUUGAAUACAAAACACCACCAUCGGCGCGGUCGUCCUUGGCGUUGGUCCUUCACGGGGCCGGCGCGAGGGCGGCUUAGCCCGGUGGCACCGGUGAAUGACUCCCCUAGCAGCUUGUGAGAAAUCAUAAGUCUUUGGGUUCCGGGGGGAGUAGGUCGCAAGGCGGGGCUUAAAGGAAUGACGGAAGGGCACCACCAGGAUGACU
rnacentral:rRNA from 1 species